UACGUAGGGUGCGAGCGUUGUCCGGAAUUAUUGGGCGUAAAGAGCUCGUAGGCGGUCAGUCGCGUCUGCUGUGAAAACUCGGGGCUUAACUCCGGGCCUGCAGUGGGUACGGGCUGACUAGAGUGCGGUAGGGGAGACUGGAAUUCCUGGUGUAGCGGUGAAAUGCGCAGAUAUCAGGAGGAACACCGAUGGCGAAGGCAGGUCUCUGGGCCGACAUUGACGCUGAGGAGCGAAAGCGUGGGGAGCGAACAGG
rnacentral:rRNA from 1 species